rnacentral:misc_RNA from 1 species
UGUUCGAGCGUCAUUACAACCCUCAAGCUCUGCUUGGUAUUAAGCUCACUACCUUGGUGGGCUUUAAAAACAGUGGCGGUGCAUUCGGCUUCAAGCUUAGUAAUUUUUCUAGCUCUGGAGAACCGGCUGUGUGCUUGCUACCAACACCCAAUUUUAUCAAGGUUGACCUCGGAUCAGGUAGGGAUACCCGCUGAACUUAA